rnacentral:rRNA from 1 species
GGGUUAAGUCCCGCAACGAGCGCAACCCUUGCCUUUAGUUGCCAGCAGUUCGGGCUGGGCACUCUAAAGGGACUGCCGGGUGUUAAACCGGAGGAAGGUGGGGAUGACGUCAAGUCCUCAUGGCCUUUAUGACCAGGGCUACACACGUACUACAAUGGCCGAUACAAAGGGCAGCGACACUGCGAGGUGAAGCCAAUCCCGUAAAAUCGGUCUCAGUCCGGAUUGGAGUCUGCAACUCGACUCCAUGAAGUUGGAAUCGCUAGUAAUCGUGGAUCAGCAUGCCACGGUGAAUACGUUCCCGGGCCUU